rnacentral:lncRNA from 1 species
AAAGCUUCAAGCUGAUGUUAACAAGCAUCAGGUGGUGCAUGAAGACAUUCGUCCCUUCUUCUGUGCCCAGUGUGAUAAAGGUUUCAAGCGGGCAGCCUGCCUGACAAAGCAUCAGAAAUUCCACAGAAGAUCCCUUCGGGUGCACUAUCUGUGGGUGCAACUUUAAAUGGGAGGUGUCACUAAAGGACAAUUUGCAUUUCCACAAGGGUGGGAUGACCUUUGUCUGCCCAGAGGAGUGCUGUGGAGGGAGCUUCAGCCAUCGCUCCACCUACCUGCAGCACUGUCGUACACACAAGAAGUUUGAGUAGUACUCCUGUCAGUUCUGCAGCCGCGUCUGCAGUGCUGAAGCAUGAACGCACAUACACUCAACAGCACGGGAACGAAAUCUAGUCUGGCUGAUACCAAACUCGAAGUCUUCCUGACUUCAGAGUCUGGAAAGGGUCCUUGAUGUUGUAGGCACAAUGAGUCUACACUGCGUGCACAAUUAUUAGGCAAACGGAUGCGACACUCUUUAAAUAGCUAAACUAUUGAGGUGUGACCACCGGACAUUCAAACGUUUUGUUGCGAAUAGUCAACUGGGGUCCAAAAAAUGCAUGUGGAAGAAAAGGCGCAAAUGAACUGCAAAAGACUUGACAAGAAUUAAACGUCAAACUACCAGGAACCCAUUAUCCUCCAGUGCCACCGUAUUCCAGAACUGCAACCUACCUGGAGUCUUCAAAGUACAAGGUGUCAAGUGCUCAGAGACAUGGCCAAGGUCAAGAAGGCUGAAACAAGAUGAAUAAGAUUCACAAGUUGAAGCGUCAAGAUUGGGCAAAGAAAUACCUGAAGACAGAUUUUUCAAAGGUUUUAUGGACAGAUGAAAUGAAAGUGACUCUUGAUGGACCAAAUGGAUGGGCCCGUGGCUGGAUCAGUAAUGGACACAGGGCACCACUUUGAGUCGGGUGCCAGCAAGGUGAAGGAGGGGUACUGGUAUGGGCUGCUAUCAUUGAGGAUGAGGUAGUUGGACCUUUUCGGGUUGAAGAUGGACUGAAACUCAACUCCAAACCUACUGCCAGUUUCUGGAAGAUUCUUUCGUCAAACAGUGGUACAGGAAGAAGUCCUCAGCAUUCUAGAAGGCCAUGAUCUUUAUGCAGGACAAUGCUCCAUCACACGCAUCCAAGUACUCCACUGCUUGGCUAGCCAGCAAGGGCCUCAAAGAUGCCUGAAUAAUGACCUGGCCCCCUUCCUCACCUGACUUAAAUCCUAUUGAGAACUUGUGGGCCCUUCUCAAACGUGAGAUUUACAGUGAUGGAAGACAAUACACCUUUUUGAACAGCAUUUGGGAGGCUGUGGUUGCUGCUUCAGUGAAAAUUGAUCGUGAACAGAUCAAGAAACUGACAGACUCCAUGGAUGGAAGGCUCAUGGCAGUUAUGAAAAUAAGGGUGGCUAUAUUGGUCACUGAAUAUUUUUGAGGCCAAAAAUGUUAUACAAUUGUCAUUUUGUGUUACUUAGCUGUUACACUUACUCAAAAAAUUGAGAAUAAGCAAGUGAGUUGAGAGAAAUUUUUGUAAUUUAGUUGCCUAAUAAUUGUGCACAUAUUUCCCUGAGAAAGACAAAACUCACUUCUCCUUUGUUAAACAUUCAGGUUUGAGGUUCAAUAACAUUUUAUUGACAGAGCAUUGUUUGUUCAACAAUAAAAUUAAUCCCGAGGAAUACAAUUUGCCUAAUAAUUGUGCACGCAGUGUAAUGAAGAGGGCUGUACUUUUUUACUGAUUGGUUCACUUGUCUUUCUCACUCAAGCACCCACAUGGACAGCCACACACACACUUAUAUUUCUUUUUACAUUCUUAGUUUCCCUGUCGAAGGGGUGGAUUUGGGGGGAGGGGCUUAGGGUAUAAGUGGUGGUUGCGAGGGAAGGGUGGUUGGAAAUAUGCGGGGGAAUGGGAGGCUCAGGAUAGAAGCUCAUUUUUGUUUCCAAAUUAAAAUGAACAACACUUUGUACUUGUCAUCUCCUCCAACAGUGUUGAGUCUGUACAUAUGCAUGGACCCGUUGUGUAAUGAUCAAAUAUGGAGGUGUGUAGAAGUAAUUUAAAAUCAGCCAGUUACACUCAAACAUUACCUACUUUCCCAAAUGAGGGUGGUGCUCUGUACUUCUAAUCUACAGAAUAUAUCUCAGCCCUAUCUUUAGGACAAAUGAGAGGAUUAUGCCUUACUGACAGACCA